AUACCAUGAUGAGGACAAUGCCUAAGCAAUUUUUUGUAUCUUUCGCAAGCUUCAUACAAUGAUUCCGAAUCUUGUUGCAUGAAUGAUGUGAUGUCAUUCCGUAUUUU
rnacentral:snoRNA from 1 species